rnacentral:rRNA from 1 species
UGGGGAAUAUUGCACAAUGGGCGCAAGCCUGAUGCAGCCAUGCCGCGUGUGUGAAGAAGGCCUUCGGGUUGUAAAGCACUUUCAGCGAGGAGGAAGGUGGUGAACUUAAUACGUUCAUCAAUUGACGUUACUCGCAGAAGAAGCACCGGCUAACUCCGUGCCAGCAGCCGCGGUAAUACGGAGGGUGCAAGCGUUAAUCGGAAUUACUGGGCGUAAAGCGCACGCAGGCGGUUUGUUAAGUCAGAUGUGAAAUCCCCGGGCUCAACCUGGGAACUGCAUUUGAAACUGGCAAGCUAGAGUCUCGUAGAGGGGGGUAGAAUUCCAGGUGUAGCGGUGAAAUGCGUAGAGAUCUGGAGGAAUACCGGUGGCGAAGGCGGCCCCCUGGACGAAGACUGACGCUCAGGUGCGAAAGCGUGGGGCAGCAAACAGGAUUAGAUACCCUGGUAGUCCACGCUGUAAACGAUGUCGAUUUGGAGGUUGUGCCCUUGAGGCGUGGNUUCCGGAGCUAACGCGUUAAAUCGACCGCCUGGGGAG